GGAGAGGUGACCGAGUGGUUGAAGGUGCCGCUCUCGAAAAGCGGUGUGCCGGUAACGGUACCAAGGGUUCGAAUCCCUUCCUCUCCGCCA
rnacentral:tRNA from 1 species